ACCCAAUGGACCGCAACUCCUAUUCCUCUCUAAAAUUGAAAGAAAAAAUCAACUCAAGUCCUACCCAUCCAUUGACCCAGCUCGCCGCUCGCAGCCCGCAGCUUCUGCAUCUCCGCAGCCACGCCAACCACCGCAGCUACCUCAACCCCGCAUCAGCUUUAUGAAGGACAUAUGUGAUCGUGUGGUGAAAGAGUUGGAGACAAUAGGUGUUUCAGAGUUUUUUGGCUCUAAGAUGUCUGAUGAUCUACAAGUAACGAAUGAAGCAAAAGGUAUGAUUCAGGAAGGUUGAAUGAGUCCAAUGAAAUGGCAAGUGAUGCUGGGGCCAACAAGCAUUCUGAUAAAGGGUCCAAGAAAAGAAAAAAAGAGAAAAGCCACUAGAAGCAUGAUUUGGAAGAAGAAGAAAAGAAUCAAUUUUUAGUAUUUUAGUAAAUUAUACAAUUACUUAUUUUGGGAUAUAAUUUAAUUUUAAAAUAGUUUAACCAUAGUUAACAUAACAACCAAUUAAAAAGUGACGUAUCAUAAAGAGUAAUUUAUAUAUUAUUAUAGAAAAGAUAGAGUAAAAUUUACCAUAUAUUUAUUAUUGAAUUUUUUUAUUUAAAUUAAAUAAAUAUAAAAUUUAUGAAAAUACAUAAAGUAUACACAAAAUUCACCAAUUUGCGGUUGUUUGAGUAAAUAUGAGCCUAGAAAUUUGGAGGAGUGGAAGAGGCAAAACUGGACCAGUGAUUGUGUGAAGAAGGAACCACUCAAGUGUGAGAGAAUGAGGAAGAAUGGAAGUGAAGUAGUAGCAUGCCAAGUCCAAGAAGAUGAUGGUUUCUUGAAACUUGUAACUAUGACGGUUUCGUAUUUCGCAUAGAGGUUGGAUGUGGAGGAAGAACAAUGUGGACCUCAGUGCUUGAAGAAUUGCUCUGGCAUUGGCUGCUUUUAUUGGAUCACAUAUUUGAUUGACUUGCAACAAUUUUUAAGCGAAGGAAUUGAUCUCUUCAUCCGUCUCCCCCAUUCAGAACUAAAAAACACAUUAAACAACAAUAAGAGUUCAAGAAAGAGCACGUUGAUCAUUGCUGUAACAGUUGGAGCAGCCAUUAUCUUGGCGGCUUGUGCAUAUCUAGCCAUUUGUGCUAGGCACACGAGGAAAAGGAGAGUUAAGGAUUCAGGUAUCAUAGAGAUGAUGAAGAAGAACUCGGAAGAAGUGUUCUGCACAAUGAAAUUAGAGUUAUAAAUUGAGAGGAACUAAACUGAGUUUAAAUUAGAAUGAAUUUACUUUACUUAGCUGUUAGAAUUGUCUUACGUGGUAAAAAAUGGUCAUAUCAGCACUUCGAUAACUUAAAAUUUGAAAUGAUAUAGAAAUCAUUAUGAUAUCCGGAGUUUUA